AAUGAAAUGUAAGCAGAAGUGACAUAUGCAGCAUGACCAGUGGAAGCUUCGAAGAGCUAUUGCCAAUUUCCACCCUCUCUCUGGAAACUGUCAUUAGGGUUAGGGAAACUGUCAUGAGAUCUGCAUAUUUUAGAUAGAGGCUGCUUGCCUUAUUUGGGCACCUAAUGAAAAAGACAUGGAGGCCAGGUGCGGUGGCUCAUGUCUGUAAUCCCAGCACUUUGGGAGGCCAAGGCGAGUGGAUCACCUGAGGUCAGGAGUUCGAGACCAGCCUGACCAACAUGGCAAAACCCCGUCUGUACUAAAAGUGCAAACACAAAGGGAACUGCGUGGCUUGUUUCUACCUGAACAUUGUCAAGUGAUUUCAUCCUUUGAAACACAGUUGUGAAGUGUGUCCAGCAGUCUGAGAACAAGAAGAAGAAGAAAAUCUAAUCCUUCAGGGUGUCUGUGUGCCAGCCCUGCUCUCAGCACUUCCCAUGUGGAACUCCUUUACUUCUCCUAACAACUCCAUGACAUGGGUUAGACUGUGAUUGUUCCCAUAUUGUUGGUAGGGAAACUGAGGCAUGCAGGUGUUACAGAGCUCUCUCAAGUGGCAAGCUUUCUGGGUGGUUACAGAGUGGCAGAGCUGGGGUAUCCCAUGAUGUCACCACACUGCUAUAUGGAAAAGAACAUUAAUCGAGCACCUACGUGCUUGAUUCUCUUAAUUCUGUGACUGAACUCUCAAAACACCCUGGGUAAGCACUAUCAUCUCCUAUUUUCACAAGUGAAAAAACUGGGAUUCAAAAAAAUUAAGUGACUUACCAAAUAUUACAGAGCUAGUAAGCCAAGACUUGAACACUGAGAUGGAAUUCUACCUUUUAAGGUGGCUAAGCAACAGAAGGAUGUUCCUUUCCCAAGGGGGUUGGUUUCCUUUUUACAACUGCCCAAGUCAUGAGUUCAUAGGGCCUGGAUGGCUGUACCGGAUUGCUCUCCAGCUGGUCUCUCUGCAUCCAGAAAUUUCUACAACCUACUGGGGUAAAAUCUUUCUCAACCCUGCUUUUCAUCAUCACAUCUUAAAUAUCUCGAGUUGGUUCCCUAUUGCCAAAAAAAAUCCAUUGUCCAUGUAGGGUUCUUCUGCCGAAACGAGGAAAGAGUGAGUUAAAUGUUGGUAGGUGAUAUAGAGAUAGUAAUUAGGCAAUAUAAUUCGAUGUUGUUGAAAGAGCUGAGCUAUGAAAUGCAUUGUGAUAAAGGGGCUGCCUGUGUAAGUAAAUGGGUAUAAUGAGGUGUAAAACUCCCUUUCUCUCUCUCUUUCUGCUUCAUAAGCCUUUCUGCUUCUCAAGUCCAGACCUGCUGUUUUUGGGGUUUCCUUCCAAUUUUUUUGCUGCUUCCCUGGGGCCUUGGCUCUUGGGCCUGCUGCCUCUUCCCACUCUACACCUUUGGAUUCCUUAUCUUUGGCUCCACCUUAUUGCUCCAUUCUCCAAAGACAAAUCCACAAGGCAUAGGAUUUUACAGAAUAUGGGGUUACAGAAACAGCAUAGGGAAGUGUAAAAGCCUAGAAGCUUCUUACAGACGCAGCCCCUUGUCUGUAGCUCCUGACUCCCACUUAAAUGUCUGUUGGAAGCACCCUGGGGUAGCAGAACCCAGCUCAGAAGAUGGGGCUUAUCCACCAUGCCUUUUCCUAACCUGACACCCACCCAGAUAAUCUUUUCAAUAUGCAAACUAGAGCGUAUCACCCCCUGCUCAGAGCCUUUCUGUGACCUCCCAUUUUGCUUCCCAGGACUCCUUGCUCCUUAGCCAGGUCUCCAGGUCCUCCGUGAUCAGGUCUCUGCUCUUCUGCAGCCUCAUCUCUGCCAUUCUUCACCUUUUGUGCUCCAACCCAAUCUGGUUUUCUUCUCAUGCUUUGAACACCCCAAGUCUGUCUGCUUCAGGAGCUUCGUACUGGCUAAUCAUUCACCACAGCAUACUCCCAUCUAUACGGCUGGCUCUUAUAUUAUGGGUCUCAGCUAAAAUGUCAUCCCUUCAAAGAGACCUUCUUGGACCACCCCCGCCAUUCUCUAUCCUAUUUCUCUCUUUUAUUUUCUUUGAAGCACUUACCCACUUUCAGAAACUAUCUGGCUUGCUCAUGUGUUUGUCUCUAGAUUGUCUACUUCCCCUCCUAGACUGUACUCUCCACAAGAGAGCAAAGCUGUGUCUGUUGCAUUCACUGUUGUCUUCCCAGAAGCAAGCAGCAUGCUGGAGACCCUCAAAUACAUGUGAAAUGAAGGGACACCUUGUGUUAUUUCACCUGUUUCCACCUGGUUCCCAAGUGGCAAGCUUGCAUUGAGGUUACAAAGUGGCAAAGCUGGGAUAUCACAUGAUGUCACCAUGAUGCUAUAUGAAAUGUAACAUUAAUUGAGUACCUAUGUGACCAGUUCUUUAAUUCUGUAAGUGAACUCUCAAAAAACCCUAGGUAAGUAUUAUCAACUCGAACUUUAACGGAUGAGGAAACUGGAAUUUUUUAAAAAAUGACUUAACCAAACAUCACAGAGCUGUAAACCAGGAUUUGAAUGGGUGAGCUGCACUCAGCCUUCAUCUCAAGUCAGUUUGCCUCUUUCUCCAAGAAGCCACAGUUGAUCCUGACCACAUCACAUAUGAGUUGCCUGGAUUGCAGUCAUUCAUUCACUAAGCAUCUUUUAGGAGGUCACAUGCCAGGCACCGUGUUAGAGCACUGCGUGUUUUGAAAUAUACAAAUAGUGGGAAACGAAAUCUUUGUUCUGGAUGCAGUUAUAAUUUGGAAAGCGAGGAAAUAAAUUAUAACAAGGGGAAAAAACAGAAUACUACUAAAGUCAUGCCGUGUGACUUCUGAAGCUAGCUCCUAAGAAGUCCUUGCAGCUUCUGCCUGCGACUCUUAGAACACUUGCUUUGAAGGAUGCCAGAUGCUGUCUUAAAAGUCUGAGCACUCUGAAACCAUCAUGCUGUGAGGAAGCCCAAGCUAACCACAUGGGCAAAAAAGAUGCCCUCUGACUGCCACCAUUUGAGACACUCUAAUUAAGAACUGCCUCAUUGAGCCCAUGAGGCCCUGUGAAUGAUAAUAAUAAAUUGUUUUUAACC
ensembl:lncRNA LINC00964 long intergenic non-protein coding RNA 964